GACGAACGCUGGCGGCGUGCUUAACACAUGCAAGUCGAACGGAAAGGCCUGCUUUCCCUUGUGGAUUGCGGGUACUCGAGUGGCUAACGGGUGAGUAACACGUGAGUGAUCUGCCCCCAACUUGGGUAUAAGCCUGGGAAACUGGGUCUAAUUCCCGAUAGGACUGCAGGGUGGUGCCUGUGGUGGAAAACGAUUUUCUAGUGGUUGGGGAUGAGCUCGCGGCCUAUCAGCUUGUUGGUGGGGUAAUGGCCUACCAAGGCGGCGACGGGUAGCCGGCCUGAGAGGGUGGACGGCCACAGUGGGACUGAGAUACGGCCCAGACGACUACGGGAGGCAGCAGUGGGGAAUAAUGCACAAUGGGCGGAAGCCUGAUGCAGCGACGCCGCGUGGGGGAUGACGGCCUUCGGGUUGUAAACUCCUUUCGACCGCGAGGAAGCCACCUGGUUGGAAGGGUGGUGACGGUAGUGGUAGAAGAAGCACCGGCUAACUACGUG
rnacentral:rRNA from 1 species